UCUCUGUGUUGGUUUGGGAAUAUCUGCAUCUUUCCUCUUCUUAAGAUUCAUCUUCGCCCUCAGUCGCUGUCAGACGGAUGAGACGCCAAUAUUCCCGAUGCCCCACUUUCCAGGGGUUGCUACGCGGAAACGGAAAACAAAUGAGGAAAACAAUGAACGAGCUGCUGCCUUCGGGCCACGGUGCCGCAGACGCAUCAACACCUCAUCAUCAUGUCAGCGCAGAGCGAGGAAAUCACACAUGCGCUCGGUCAGAGGAGCUGGCUUUGACCCAGCAUUGGACCGGAUGCCCCUCAACAGCAAAAGGAGCCAAGCUGGAUGUCCAGUAUGACCGGUGCUUGUCUGUCUGAGCCCUAGAAGAUCCUUUAAUGAGCGUGAAUAUGCAGCGACUUUAACCAUUUAGCAGCUUGGACUCUCUCUGUUGUCCAGUCCAGUCAGAAUAAUCCAUUUUGCUCCCCAGCAGUGUUUUUGUUCC